rnacentral:rRNA from 1 species
CCUACGGGAGGCAGCAGUGGGGAAUUUUGGACAAUGGGCGAAAGCCUGAUCCAGCCAUUCCGCGUGCAGGAUGAAGGCCCUCGGGUUGUAAACUGCUUUUGUACAGAACGAAAAGGUUUCUAUUAAUACUAGGAGCUCAUGACGGUACUGUAAGAAUAAGCACCGGCUAACUACGUGCCAGCAGCCGCGGUAAUACGUAGGGUGCAAGCGUUAAUCGGAAUUACUGGGCGUAAAGCGUGCGCAGGCGGUUAUAUAAGUCAGAUGUGAAAUCCCCGGGCUCAACCUGGGAACUGCAUUUGAGACUGUAUAGCUAGAGUACGGUAGAGGGGGAUGGAAUUCCGCGUGUAGCAGUGAAAUGCGUAGAUAUGCGGAGGAACACCGAUGGCGAAGGCAAUCCCCUGGACCUGUACUGACGCUCAUGCACGAAAGCGUGGGGAGCAAACAGGAUUAGAUACCCUGGUAGUCCACGCCCUAAACGAUGUCAACUGGUUGUUGGGUCUUAACUGACUCAGUAACGAAGCUAACGCGUGAAGUUGACCGCCUGGGGAGUACGGCCGCAAGGUUGAAACGUCAAAUGAAUUGACGGCUGAGAGNGCGAGACGACGACGAGGGAGGAGG